rnacentral:lncRNA from 1 species
UCCAUUUUAAUAAAAAUUACACUAAAAUAAUAUUACAUUAAAAUUCCAACACAUCUUACAUUUUGACAAAGUUCAAUUCCAUACACAAGUUAAUACAUAAUUUCAUCCAAUUAUAUUCCAAAUCGCAUGGCUAUACAUAACCUUACAUUCAAACCAAUACAAUGUCGCUUUUCAAAAUUUACAUAAAAUCCAACCAUGGACAAUCCUAAGUCCUAAGUCAUUCUUCA